rnacentral:rRNA from 1 species
UAAGGGAUAUUGCGACAAUGGGCGAAAGCCUGACGCAGCAACGCCGCGUGGAGGAUGACGGCCUUCGGGUUGUAAACUCCUUUUACCGGGGAAGAGGAAGGACGGUACCCGGUGAAGAAGUCUCGGCUAACUACGUGCCAGCAGCCGCGGUAAAACGUAGGAGGCGAGCGUUAUCCGGAUUUACUGGGUGUAAAGCGCGAGCGGGCGGUGUGGUAAGUGGUGUGUGAAAGCGCCCGGCUCAACCGGGCGAGGACAUGCUAGACUGCCAGACUAGAGGUAGGUAGAGGCGGGUGGAAUUCCGGGUGUAGUGGUGAAAUGCGUAGAGAUCCGGAGGAACACCAGUGGCGAAGGCGACCCGCUGGGCCUGACCUGACGCUCAGACGCGAAAGCAUGGGAGCGAACGGGAUAGAAACCCGGUAGUCCAUGCCGUAAACGAUGUUGACUAGGUGUUGCGCCGUCAACGGGGCAGUGCCGCAACUAACGUGAUAAGUCAACCACCUGGGAC